CACGUGCGAGAUGACAGCGAAGGUCAUAUCUCAAGCGCAUGCGCUGUGUACUUCAACCACUUGAAAUACUAAAAGUGUUUUGUAUGUGUUAAGACAAUAAAAACUAUGCAAAAAAUCAAGACACGCAAAUCGGAAAAUCUGGCAGAAUGGCAUCGCAGCAGACAGAAUACCAUGAAAUUAAAAAAUGUAAUCACUGUCGUGAUUUGUACAUCACGGCUAAAUGUGGACAUACUGUCCAUCUGUCCCCGUUAAUGAAGUCACGGGGAAAAUUCAAGUGCAAAAUUUGCGGUGUAUCGGACGCAGGUGUCGAUGUUGCUGUCCGUCAAUUUGUGAUGUAAGU